rnacentral:lncRNA from 1 species
GAAAAUGAAAAGAGAAUUGAAUUGAUGCGUUCGUUGAAACGUUUUCCUUGAGAUUUGAGUUCAUGAUGUAAGAGGAGAGUCGAGAUUGAGUGUGAUGAGCAUUAUGUUGUACUUGAAUGUUUUUGAGUGCUAUAAGUGUUUAAAAAUGAGCUUUGAUGAGUUUUCUUUGAAGGAAUGUUGAGUUGAGCAUUUAAAGAGUUUGAGAUGAGAUUUUGGUGAAUUUCGU